rnacentral:rRNA from 1 species
CGAGCGGACAGAAGGGAGCUUGCUCCCGGAUGUUAGCGGCGGACGGGUGAGUAACACGUGGGUAACCUGCCUGUAAGACUGGGAUAACUCCGGGAAACCGGAGCUAAUACCGGAUAGUUCCUUGAACCGCAUGGUUCAAGGAUGAAAGACGGUUUCGGCUGUCACUUACAGAUGGACCCGCGGCGCAUUAGCUAGUUGGUGAGGUAACGGCUCACCAAGGCGACGAUGCGUAGCCGACCUGAGAGGGUGAUCGGCCACACUGGGACUGAGACACGGCCCAGACUCCUACGGGAGGCAGCAGUAGGGAAUCUUCCGCAAUGGACGAAAGUCUGACGGAGCAACGCCGCGUGAGUGAUGAAGGUUUUCGGAUCGUAAAGCUCUGUUGUUAGGGAAGAACAAGUGCAAGAGUAACUGCUUGCACCUUGACGGUACCUAACCAGAAAGCCACGGCUAACUACGUGCCAGCAGCCGCGGUAAUACGUAGGUGGCAAGCGUUGUCCGGAAUUAUUGGGCGUAAAGGGCUCGCAGGCGGUUUCUUAAGUCUGAUGUGAAAGCCCCCGGCUCAACCGGGGAGGGUCAUUGGAAACUGGGAAACUUGAGUGCAGAAGAGGAGAGUGGAAUUCCACGUGUAGCGGUGAAAUGCGUAGAGAUGUGGAGGAACACCAGUGGCGAAGGCGACUCUCUGGUCUGUAACUGACGCUGAGGAGCGAAAGCGUGGGCAGCGAACAGC